GUUCAAAAUAAAAGUUUUAAUUUAUGAAAAUAGAAGAAGUAGGAAAAGUAUUUUUAAUUCAACAUUUACAGAGUGAAUCAGGAGAAGAAGUGUUGGUAAUUUAUUUUGAAACAGAUUGUAUCACGAAAAGAAGUAAUGAGAGUAAUAAAAUUCUUUUAUUCAACAUUGGGAAUUGAAUUACGUGAAGAAAUGGUUGUAAUUAAUUUAAAACAUAUUGCAUCACGAGAAGAAUAGGAAAAAUAUUGCUAUACUCAAGUAUCAAGAUUGAAAUACUGAUGUACCGUUAAACUGAAGGUGGUAAUACAGUUUACAAAAUUUGCACUGGCUGAAUUUUUUAAUUAAAAAACAAUAUGUGUGCCAUAAAUGUAAUCUGUUUUUCAUGGGGUAUCAAUAAAAGAUUGGUGUGUUGGCCAAAUCACUUGCAAGCAUCUUGCUAUUAAACUGCCAUACGUAAAGUCACGUUUUUAAAAGUAACUGAAAGCAGCUGAAAAUAAGAAUUUUUUGAUGAACUUUCGGUUGGAGGAGAUGAGAAACAACUUACAGCGGCAAUCUUAAUACAGCUAAUGGCCAAAGAAAUAUGUUUUUCAUACUCAGUGUAUGGAAUAAAACAAAAACGACCUGCAAGGUCGUUAUAGAGUUGCGUUUAGUCGCUUAUCGUUGUAUUCGUUCAUUUCGAAUUCGUUACUGACAAAAGUAUUAAAGAAAAAAUUGGCAGCUUUCUAGCGACGGCCAUUAAUAAAGAUUACGGAAGAAAAAUAGAACCGUAACUGAGCAACGCCCAAUAUUGAGCAAUGAAAUAAGUAUCGCCAAUAUUAUGAAAGUCGAUGCCCACUAUCUUAUAGUGAGAGUAUAAUA